UGUGUAACUGCCAACAAGCCGCAUGCGCGUCCAUGUGCAAGGACCUCGCGUCACCGUUCCUGCGGAACUCGGGAGGCUGUUCUCGGACUCCGAAAGCUAGACUCCUAUCUAGAAAAUAAUGAACAACAAAUUUGAUGCGCUGAAAGACGAUGAUAGUGGAGAUCACGAGCAGGAUCAAGGCUCACCGAAAGACAGUGAAAAGGAAAAACCUGAAGAAGACGACAAGGAGCAAAACAUUAUAAAGAAAAAAAUGGUGGUGCCAGGACCAGGAGAGCAUCCCCUUCAGUACAACUACACGUUCUGGUACUCGAGGCGUACUCCAGGGAGACCAGCCAGCACUCAGAGCUACGAACAGAACAUCAAACAGAUUGGCAGCUUUGCCUCGGUGGAACAGUUUUGGCGCUUUUAUAGCCACAUGAUCCGGCCUGGUGAUCUUACAGGUCAUAGUGACUUCCACCUGUUUAAGGAAGGCAUAAAGCCCAUGUGGGAGGAUGAUGCCAAUAAAAUGGGAGGGAAGUGGAUCAUUCGCCUAAGGAAAGGCCUGGCGUCUCGAUGUUGGGAGAACCUGAUCCUGGCCAUGCUGGGGGAGCAGUUCAUGGUCGGAGAGGAGAUCUGUGGCGCUGUUGUGUCAGUACGCUUCCAGGAGGACAUUAUAUCCAUCUGGAACAAAACGGCAAGCGACCAAGCGACGACGGCCCGCAUCAGAGACACGUUGCGCCGAGUCCUCAACCUGCCUCCCAACACCAUCAUGGAGUACAAGACGCAUACAGACAGCAUUAAGUAUACGCAGCCUAGAGGUCCAUGGUAACUUGGAGGAGCUGCAGAGAUCUCCAGCUCAGAGCCUGGGAAGACUUCCAUGGUCUGGUGAAUGCUAGUGGCGGACGUUAGCCCCUCACACGGAGAUACUCUGGGAAGAGUUUGUGUGUUUACAUGGCGUGUUGAGGGGUUGACGAGUCCCGGGCUGGAUACCUCUGCGUGGAUCGGCACUGUGCAACAUGAGGACAGAGGAAAUAUCCACAGGAACAGAGGGCCUGAAGACCAUUCCCUGUUUUUGUCCAGUUUUGAUGUUUGGAAGGAAAGACAUGCCAGCGAUCGGCAAAGCGAAGAGAACUAAUCAGUCAACCGGAGACGAACGAAGCCUUCAUUAUUCUUGUUUACAAGUUUUAACAUGUUAACUUGCCAGCAGAGGGAGGCUGUGUGACUGGCGUCUGCUUAUCUGUCUGUUUGCUGCCAAAGUGUGCUGGACAAAAUACAACAAAACUUGUUUGAUGUAGAAAUGAAUGUCAUUUAUUGUUGAACAGAAGCUGUUGACACAAGUCUGCUGAGGAGUUUUAGUGGGACUCAAACAGGCCAACAGGUGGAAAAUGUUUUAUUACAGUGAUGUAUUUUAAAUGCCAUUCCUGUCAUUCUGAACACCAUCACAUCAUUUUUGUGUACAAUAUAUUCGUGUAUACUUUCUGAAUCUAUCAUUUCACUCUCUCUGACAUGGACCUUUUACUCUGGACUGAGACAGGCCGUCCUGUGGUGAGCAGACCGUUGUAUCAGAGCUUUCUUUAAGGUUCACUACUAGCUGCCUAAAUCACAGUGCCUGGCAUUCGAGCUGAGAGCUGUCCCAUCAGUUCAAGAUAUACGACGUCUUCAACUGGUUCAUAGAAAGGACUUUACUUAAAUGUCCACGACGAAAGCCUCCUGAAUCCAAUAUUUAUCACCUUUUACAAUUUUAUCAACAAAUUACAUAAAACUUUUCCCAGGAUCAGGGUUUGUUAUAGAUUUAAUCCUGGACAAUUCUUCUUUUUUUUUUUCUUUUUCAGUUUGUGAGGAAGUCUAAUUCUGCCCAACAUGUUGUGGCAAAUGAUGGAAGAGAAAUAUUGUUGGAGAUGUGCACCUGAUGGAUUCUAGCAAUAAAAGUUAAAUAUGCAUCUGCUGCUAA